CAUUUCCCUUGUGGCUGCAUAGGCAGGAAGCAGGUGGCAGGGAGCGGACCCACAGCAUCCCCCACAGCGGGCCCUGGGGUUGCCACCAACCAUGGCUGGGAGCUGCUCUCAUUGACUGCUCAGUGGCUCUGUGGCUCUGGGAACCGGACCUCCUCUUAAACCUGACAAAGAAUUCAAGGGCUUGUGCUGGGGCUGCCAGCUGCUCUUCUGGUGCCCUGAGGACGAAGAAGGGAUCUGAAGGGAAGAUCGUCACCCUCUCGCAUAUGUUUCCGCUCAGCAUGAGAGAGACAAGGGGAGAUCCCAGUUCCAGGAACACCUGGCCAGUGUGUCACCUGUUUCUUGGAAUUGACAGGACCAGUCCAGCCCUUUCCCAACUCUCCCCAUCAUGAUGGACGGGAGCCUGGCCUUUGAGGUUAUGAACCAAGGAGAUGAAAGAUGCUGAUCAAUGAAAAAGAUUUAAAAACCACAUUACUAGUGCCUCUAAAGCCCUGCCAGCAUCUAUGCCCUAUGAUUCAACAUCAUGAAGAGGGAUAGGAGAAGAAGGGAGUUAUUAAUUAGCAUUACUAUAAAAGCAUUCCAUCCUGAGAAGAGGUUCAUCACUGAAUGUGAAUUUCAUAGUCAUUAGCAGAAAAAGCCAGAGGGUACGCUUUUAACACUCUGUGGUAGCUUGUUGAUCUGAUCAAAAUCAACUUUUCUGGAGUCCACAGAAAAUUAGACUUUUUGACAUUCUGCUGAAAGACUUAUAUCCCAAAAAGCUGGAUGAGGACC
rnacentral:lncRNA from 1 species